rnacentral:rRNA from 1 species
CCUACGGGAUGCAGCAGUGAGGAAUAUUGGUCAAUGGACGAGAGUCUGAACCAGCCAAGUAGCGUGAAGGAUGACUGCCCUAUGGGUUGUAAACUUCUUUUAUAUGGGAAUAAAAUGUUCCACGUGUGGGAUUUUGUAUGUACCAUAUGAAUAAGGAUCGGCUAACUCCGUGCCAGCAGCCGCGGUAAUACGGAGGAUCCGAGCGUUAUCCGGAUUUAUUGGGUUUAAAGGGAGCGUAGGUGGAUUGUUAAGUCAGUUGUGAAAGUUUGCGGCUCAACCGUAAAAUUGCAGUUGAAACUGGCAGUCUUGAGUACAGAAGAGGUGGGCGGAAUUCGUGGUGUAGCGGUGAAAUGCUUAGAUAUCACGAAGAACUCCGAUUGCGAAGGCAGUUCACUGGACUGCAACUGACACUGAGGCUCGAAAGUGUGGGUAUCAAACAGGAUUAGAUACCCCAGUAGUC